CACGUAGGCGGCCUGUUAAGUGUGGAGUGAAAUCCCACGGCUCACCCGUGGAACUGCUUCGCAUACUGGCAAGCUCGAGGACGGUAGGGGAGAGCGGAACCCUUGGUGGAGCGGUGAAAUGCGUAGAUAUCAAGAGGAACACCGAUGGCGAAGGCAGCUCUCUGGUCCGUUUCUGACGCUGAGGUGCGAAAGCUAGGGUAGCGAACG
rnacentral:rRNA from 1 species